CUGCAAAUCCCCUAAUCGAUAUGUCAUUGAGACUUUCAGAGAUUGCUCCGAUUUUUCGCGUCGCGUGGGGUAUAAAGCGUUCGGCCACUAUUGUCUGCCAAAGCAGUUGGUGGACCCUACUUGAGUCAGACCAACUUUCUGCGGCAGCUAAAAAGUGCGUGGAGGGAUAUUCUUCCAGUCCACCAUGAAAGCUUGCAAGGUAGCGUUUGUGGCCUUCUUCUGCAUUUCCCUUGCCACUGCCCAUGUGAUUGGAGAUAAGAG